rnacentral:rRNA from 1 species
AGCGAACGCUGGCGGCAGGCCUAACACAUGCAAGUCGAGCGCCGUAGCAAUACGGAGCGGCCGACGGGAGAGUAACACGUGGGAACGUACCCUUUGGUUCGGAACAACCCAGGGAAACUUGGGCUAAUACCGGAUAAGCCCUCACGGGGAAAGAGUCAUCGCCGAAGGAUCGGCCCCCGUCUGAUUAGCUAGUUGGUGGGGUAAUGGCCCACCAAGGCGACGAGCAGUAGCUGGUCUGCGAGGAUGAUCAGCCUCACUGGGACUGAGACACGGCCCAGACUCCUACGGGAGGCAGCAGUGGGGAAUAUUGGACAAUGGGCGCAAGCCUGAUCCAGCCAUGCCGCGUGGGUGAUGAAGGCCCUAGGGUUGUAAAGCCCUUUCGGCGGGGAAGAUAAUGACGGUACCCGCAGAAGAAGCCCCGGCUAACUUCGUGCCAGCCGCCGCUGUAACAC